UACGGGGGGGGCAAGCGUUGUUCGGAUUUACUGGGCGUAAAGGGCGCGUAGGCGGCACCGCAAGUCAGUUGUGAAAUCUCUGGGCUUAACCCAGAAAGGUCAACUGAUACUGCGGGGCUAGAGUGCAGAAGGGGCAACUGGAAUUCUCGGUGUAGCGGUGAAAUGCGUAGAUAUCGAGAGGAACACCUGCGGCGAAGGCGGGUUGCUGGGCUGACACUGACGCUGAUGCGCGAAAGCUAGGGGAGCGAACGGG
rnacentral:rRNA from 1 species